GUGGGGAAUAUUGGACAAUGGGCGCAAGCCUGAUCCAGCCAUGCCGCGUGAGUGAUGAAGGCCCUAGGGUUGUAAAGCUCUUUCACCGGAGAAGAUAAUGACGGUAUCCGGAGAAGAAGCCCCGGCUAACUUCGUGCCAGCAGCCGCGGUAAUACGAAGGGGGCUAGCGUUGUUCGGAAUUACUGGGCGUAAAGCGCACGUAGGCGGACAUUUAAGUCAGGGGUGAAAUCCCGGAGCUCAACUCCGGAACUGCCUUUGAUACUGGGUGUCUGGAGUAUGGAAGAGGUGAGUGGAAUUCCGAGUGUAGAGGUGAAAUUCGUAGAUAUUCGGAGGAACACCAGUGGCGAAGGCGGCUCACUGGUCCAUUACUGACGCUGAGGUGCGAAAGCGUGGGGAGCAAACAGGAUUAGAUACCCUAGUAGUCC
rnacentral:rRNA from 1 species